rnacentral:rRNA from 1 species
CACGCAGUUAGCCGUGGCUUCCUCCUCGGCUACCGUCUCGUUUCGUCACCGAAGACAGAGGUUUACAAUCCGAAAACCUUCUUCCCUCACGCGGCGUCGCUGCAUCAGAGUUCCCUCCAUUGUGCAAUAUCCCCCACUGCUGCCUCCCGUAGGAGUCUGGGCCGUGUCUCAGUCCCAAUGUGGCCGUUCAACCUCUCAGUCCGGCUACCGAUCGUCGACUUGGUGGGCCGUUACCCCGCCAACUAUCUAAUCGGACGCGAGCCCAUCCUAUAGCGGAUUGCUCCUUUGGCGCCAAAGGGAUGUCCCCCAGCGCGUUAUGCGGUAUUAGCGUUCGUUUCCAAACGUUACUCCCCUCUAUAGGGCAGGUUGCUCACGUGUUACUCACCCGUCCGCCACUAGUUCGAGGGGCAAGGCCCCCUUCCUUCGUUCCGACUUGCAUGUGUUAGGCGCGCCGCCAGCGUCGUCUCG